rnacentral:tRNA from 1 species
AAUUUUGUAGUUAAAAAUAAUAUUAAAUUGCAAAUUUAAAGUAAAUAAAAAAUUCAAAAUUU